rnacentral:lncRNA from 1 species
CUCCUCUGUAUCUGGUAGCCUGGGUGCUAAUCUCAGCUCUGAUUCAUGGUUGGCUGUGUCUUCUUUGGAUUCCUUUUUUUUUUUUAAAAAACCUCUGAAGAGACUGACCUCUACCUUUUCGCAUGCAAAACAAACUCAGAACUGUGUUUCUGGUAGAAGUGGGGAAAAAAAAAAAAAAAAAAAAAAAACUGGCAAGGUUUAACCUGGUAUAUUAGAAAAGACGUGAGUUUUGGAGUCUGGUUAUAUGACCUCAGGUGGGAGCCUUUUGGAGCCUAUUUUCUCAUCUAUAAAAUGGGGAUAAUUGUACUUACUUCUUUGGCUGGUAAUGAGCAUGAAGUGAGAAAAUGCAGGAGCUUGACUAUAUAGUAGGUGCUUAAUGAAUAUUAUUUCCUUCCUCCCGUGGAGAAAAGCAGACUGAAGAAGUAGGGGAGUGGAGGAAUGGAACAGCUGAUCCAUCAAAUCCCUCAGGUUUGGGGAGCCAGAGGGAGGAGAAGUUCUCCAAAGAGAGAACAGAAAAUAACAGGGAAGGGUCAAGGGAAGGCAGAUUUUGGCUCCAUUUUAGGAAAACUACAAUAUGGAGGGAGUUGACUUUAGAGGAAGUGAGCUCCCCAUCACUCAAGGGGACCAAAGAGAGUCCCCAUACAUCUAUGGCUAAUUGAUUUUUUAAAAUUGUAGUAUAGUUUACUUACAACAUUGUGUUACUUUCAGAUAUAUAGCAAAGUGAUUCAAUUAUGUGUGUGUAUAUUCUUUUCCAUUAUAGGUUAUGACAAGAUAUGAAAUAUAGUUCUUUGUGCUGUAUAGUAAAUCCUUGUUAUUUGUCUAUUUUUAUAUAUGGUAGUGUGUAUCUGUUAAUCCCAUUCUCCUAAUUUAUCCCUCCCCCCAUUCCCCUUUGUUAUAUAAAUUUGUUUUCUCUGUCUGUGGGUCUGUUUCUAUUUUGUAAAUAAGUUAUUUAUACCAUUUUUUAAGAUUCCACAGGUAUGUAAUAUUUGUCUUUAUCUGACUUACUUCACUUAGUAUGAUAAUCUCUAGGUCCCUUAUGUUGCUGCAAGUGGCAUUAUUUCAUUCUUUUUCAUGGAUGAGUAAUAUUCCAGUGUGUGUGUGUGUGUGUGUGUGUGUGUGUGUGUGUGUGUGUGUGUGUUUGUAUGUCACAUCUUCUUUAUCCAUUCAUCUGUCAAUGGACAUUUAGGUUGUUUCCAUGUCUUGGAUAUUGUGAAUAGUGCUGCUAUUGGAGUACAUGUAUCUUUUUGAAUUAUAGCUUUCUUUGGAUAUAUGCCCUGGAGUGGUAUUGCUGGAUCAUUUGGUAACUCUGUUUUUAUUAUUUAUUUAUUUAUUUAGUUUUGUCUUUUAGGGCCACACUUGUGGCAUCUGGAAGUUCCUAGGCUAGGGGUCAAAUUGGAGCUGCAGUUUCUGGCCUAUGCCACAGCCACAGCAAUGCCAGAUCUAAGCUGCAUCUGUGAUCUAUACCACAGCUCACAGCAAUGCCAGAUCCUUAACUCACUGAACGAGGCCAGGGACCGAACCCAAGUCCUCAUGGAUAGUACUCAGGUUUGUUACUACUGAGCCACAACCAGAACUCCUAUUUUUAAAGGAACCUCCAUACUAUUUUCCAUACCAAAAAAAAUAUGAGUACACAAUUACUCUUUUCAGGGCCAUUCUGUUUAUGAGACGGUGUUUUUUUUUUUUAUAUAUAAUGAUUUUUAUUUUUUCCAUUAUGGCUGAUUUACAGUGUUCUGUCAAUUUUCUACUGUACAGCAAGGUGACCCAGUCACAUAUACAUGUAUACAUUCUUUUUUCUCACAUUAUCAUGCUCCAUCAUAAGUAAUGAGAUAUAGUUCCCAGUGCUAUACAGCAGGAUCUCAUUGCUUAUCCAUUCCAAAGGCAAUAGUCUGCAUCUAUUAACCCCAAAUUCCCAGUCCAUCCCCUCCCUCACCCUCCACCUUGACAACCACAAGUAUGUUCUCCAUGUCCAUGAUUUUCUUUUCUGUGGAAAGUUUCAUUUGUGCCAUAUAUUAGAUUCCAGAUAUAAAUGAUAUCAUAUGGUAUUUGUCUUUCUCUUCUGUAGUCCCAUCCAUGUUGCCACAAAUGGCAUUAUUUUGAUAUUUUUUAUGGCUGAGUAGUAUUCCGUUGUGUAUAUAUACUACAUUUUCUUAAUCCAGUCAUCUGUUGAUGGACAUUUAGGUUGUUUCUGUCUUGGCUAUUGUGAAUAGAUAGCGCUGCAAUGAACAUGUCUUUUUCUUUUGCCUUUUCUAGGGCAGCUUCCAGUGGCAUAUGGAGGCUCCCAGGCUAAGAGUCUAAUUGGACCUAUAGCCACUGGCCUAUGCCAGAGCCACAGCAGUGUGGGAUCCGAGCUGUGUCUGUGACCUACACCACAGCUCACAGCAAUGCCGGAUCUUUAACCCACUGAGCAAGGCCAGGGAUUGAACCCGCCACCUCAUGGUUCCUAGUUGGAGUCAUUAACCAAUGCCCCAUGACGGGAAACUCCCUGAACAUGUCUUUUUCAAGCAAAGUUUUGUCUGGAUAUAUGCCCAGGAGUGGGAUUGCUGGGUCAUAUGGUAGUUCUAUAUUUACUUUUCUAAGGUCCCUCCAUACUGUUCUUCAUAGUGGUUGUACCAUUUUAUAUUCCCACCAACAGUGUAGGAGGGUUCCCUUUUCUCCAUACCCUCUCUAGCAUUUGUUAUUUUGUGGACUUAUUAAUGAUGGCCAUUCUGACUGGUGUGAGGUGGUAUCUCAUGGUAGCUUUGAUUUGCAUUUUUCUAAUAAUGAUGUUGAGCAUUUUUUCAUGUGCUUGUUGGCCAUCUAUAUGUCUUUUUUGGAGAAAUGUCUAUUCAGGUCUUUUGCCCUUUUUUCAAUUGGGUGGUUGGCAUUUUUGCUGUUGAGACCAGUGUUUUUAAGUUUCACCUUGAGCAAAGAGGUGAAGAGAAUUUUCAGAGGAGGUUAAGGGCAUGAAGGUAUUGCUGAUGAUGGACCAAAAUGGAAGUGCCCUGGUAGGUGGAGAAAAGCAAUUACGGAGUCAGAUUAAGUCAAUGGCUUCCAUAUUUAUUUUAUUUUAUUUUAUUUUUAUUUAUUUAUUUAUUUAUCUUUUUGCCUUUUCUAG